GACGAACGCUGGCGGCGUGCUUAACACAUGCAAGUCGAACGAAGUGGCGAACGGGGGAGUAACGCGUAAUCCACCUGCCCUUCAGAGGGGGACAACAGUUGGAAACGACUGCUAAUACCGCAUACUGCAGGAGGGGAGUGCGUCUGCUUAGCUAGUUGGAGGGGUAACGGCCAACCCAGGCGAUGAUCAGUAGCCGGGGUGAGAGUGUGAACGGCCACAGUGGGACUGGGACACGACCCAGACUCCUACGGGAGACAGCAGUGGGGAGUCGUCAGCAAUGGACGAAAGGCGGACGGAGCAACGCCGCGUGAGUGGUGAGGGCCUUCGGGUUGUGAAGUGCAGUUAAUCGGGGCGCGUUACCGGAAUAGAAAGCCACGGCUAACUACGUGCCAGCAGCCGCGGUAAUC
rnacentral:rRNA from 1 species